rnacentral:lncRNA from 1 species
AUUUUUUGUAAAUUCACUAAACCUUCAAGACAUUUAUGAUAUUUUCUUUUUUAUUCAUAUCGCAAAGCUAACCAAUUUGAAAAAUAACGAUUAUGACAUAUUAAAAUUAUUAACAACUAGAUUGAAAAAUAUCUUACAAAUUAUUUAUGACCAUGAUAUUAAAGAAUUUAAUACUAGUCCUAAUACCUACAUUCUGAAUAUACUAGACCUUAUUAGAGAAAAAAAUAAUGAUAAUGUGAAGGACUUUGCUACCUUUUUUUUUUAUAGUUUAUAUAAGAAGAUAGUGGGAGAUGCAGCAGUCAGUGAUGAGAGCGUACAGGUUGGUGACCAGAACGAGCGUGGUGGUGACAUAAACGAAAUAAAUAAAAAUGAUUUUCCAGCGGAACAAACCGAAGUAGACAUUCAAGAUAAACUUACAAAUUCACACUCGGCCGAAAAAAAAAAUAAUUCUUAUAAAGAUAAUAACCUAAAUGAAAUAUAUACAAAAGCAAAUAAUAUUAUCAACAAUUUUAAAGACAUUAGAUUAUUUCUUAAAUAUUUUUUAAAAUAUUAUAAAAAAAAUCAGAACAAGUUAAAUAUAAGAAUUAUUGAUUACCUUUUAUGGAAUUCACAAUUAUUUUUUUCACAGAUGAAUGAAAAUAAAUACUUUUAUCAUAGUAGUUAUAUAUAUGGGGAAGAAAUGAAUGAAUAUUUCUAUUUGUUACGUAAGGUGAUUAAAGAAAAAUUAUAUGAUGAUGUAGGUAUGCGUAGAUGUAUUAGCAUAUUUAAAUACAUAAUAAAUACACAGAAGGCUCAUUAUCUAACUACUAAUACCACGAACACUAAUAUUCAUAACAGUUUCUUUGCAAGUUAUACAGACGUAACUGAUGUAAAUGUUUGGGGAUAUAUCAAUAAAGUUUUUAUUAAUUUUGUAUAAUUGGUAUGACUGUUUCUAUGUAUACUUAUGUGGGUGUGUUUGUGUGUGAUCAUGUGUUGGUCUAUGUGUGUAUGUACAUGUUUUUUAGGCGCACACAUUAUUUACGCGUUUUC